rnacentral:rRNA from 1 species
UUAAGUGACUAAGCGUACACGGUGGAUGCCCUGGCAGUCAGAGGCGAUGAAGGACGUGCUAAUCUGCGAUAAGCGUCGGUAAGGUGAUAUGAACCGUUAUAACCGGCGAUUUCCGAAUGGGGAAACCCAGUGUGAUUCGUCACACUAUCAUUAACUGAAUCCAUAGGUUAAUGAGGCGAACCGGGGGAACUGAAACAUCUAAGUACCCCGAGGAAAAGAAAUCAACCGAGAUUCCCCCAGUAGCGGCGAGCGAACGGGGAGCAGCCCAGAGCCUGAAUCAGUGUGUGUGUUAGUGGAAGCGUCUGGAAAGGCGCGCGAUACAGGGUGACAGCCCCGUACACAAAAAUGCACAUGCUGUGAGCUCGAUGAGUAGGGCGGGACACGUGGUAUCCUGUCUGAAUAUGGGGGGACCAUCCUCCAAGGCUAAAUACUCCUGACUGACCGAUAGUGAACCAGUACCGUGAGGGAAAGGCGAAAAGAACCCCGGCGAGGGGAGUGAAAAAGAACCUGAAACCGUGUACGUACAAGCAGUGGGAGCCUCUUUAUGGGGUGACUGCGUACCUUUUGUAUAAUGGGUCAGCGACUUAUAUUCUGUAGCAAGGUUAACCGAAUAGGGGAGCCGAAGGGAAACCGAGUCUUAACUGGGCGUUAAGUUGCAGGGUAUAGACCCGAAACCCGGUGAUCUAGCCAUGGGCAGGUUGAAGGUUGGGUAACACUAACUGGAGGACCGAACCGACUAAUGUUGAAAAAUUAGCGGAUGACUUGUGGCUGGGGGUGAAAGGCCAAUCAAACCGGGAGAUAGCUGGUUCUCCCCGAAAGCUAUUUAGGUAGCGCCUCGUGGAUUCAUCUCCGGGGGUAGAGCACUGUUUCGGCAAGGGGGUCAUCCCGACUUACCAACCCGAUGCAAACUGCGAAUACCGGAGAAUGUUAUCACGGGAGACACACGGCGGGUGCUAACGUCCGUCGUGAAGAGGGAAACAACCCAGACCGCCAGCUAAGGUCCCAAAGUCAUGGUUAAGUGGGAAACGAUGUGGGAAGGCCCAGACAGCCAGGAUGUUGGCUUAGAAGCAGCCAUCAUUUAAAGAAAGCGUAAUAGCUCACUGGUCGAGUCGGCCUGCGCGGAAGAUGUAACGGGGCUAAACCAUGCACCGAAGCUGCGGCAGCGACGCUUAUGCGUUGUUGGGUAGGGGAGCGUUCUGUAAGCCUGUGAAGGUGUGCUGUGAGGCAUGCUGGAGGUAUCAGAAGUGCGAAUGCUGACAUAAGUAACGAUAAAGCGGGUGAAAAACCCGCUCGCCGGAAGACCAAGGGUUCCUGUCCAACGUUAAUCGGGGCAGGGUGAGUCGACCCCUAAGGCGAGGCCGAAAGGCGUAGUCGAUGGGAAACAGGUUAAUAUUCCUGUACUUGGUGUUACUGCGAAGGGGGGACGGAGAAGGCUAUGUUGGCCGGGCGACGGUUGUCCCGGUUUAAGCGUGUAGGCUGGUUUUCCAGGCAAAUCCGGAAAAUCAAGGCUGAGGCGUGAUGACGAGGCACUACGGUGCUGAAGCAACAAAUGCCCUGCUUCCAGGAAAAGCCUCUAAGCAUCAGGUAACAUCAAAUCGUACCCCAAACCGACACAGGUGGUCAGGUAGAGAAUACCAAGGCGCUUGAGAGAACUCGGGUGAAGGAACUAGGCAAAAUGGUGCCGUAACUUCGGGAGAAGGCACGCUGAUAUGUAGGUGAAGUCCCUUGCGGAUGGAGCUGAAAUCAGUCGAAGAUACCAGCUGGCUGCAACUGUUUAUUAAAAACACAGCACUGUGCAAACACGAAAGUGGACGUAUACGGUGUGACGCCUGCCCGGUGCCGGAAGGUUAAUUGAUGGGGUCAGCGCAAGCGAAGCUCUUGAUCGAAGCCCCGGUAAACGGCGGCCGUAACUAUAACGGUCCUAAGGUAGCGAAAUUCCUUGUCGGGUAAGUUCCGACCUGCACGAAUGGCGUAAUGAUGGCCAGGCUGUCUCCACCCGAGACUCAGUGAAAUUGAACUCGCUGUGAAGAUGCAGUGUACCCGCGGCAAGACGGAAAGACCCCGUGAACCUUUACUAUAGCUUGACACUGAACAUUGAGCCUUGAUGUGUAGGAUAGGUGGGAGGCUUUGAAGUGUGGACGCCAGUCUGCAUGGAGCCGACCUUGAAAUACCACCCUUUAAUGUUUGAUGUUCUAACGUUGACCCGUAAUCCGGGUUGCGGACAGUGUCUGGUGGGUAGUUUGACUGGGGCGGUCUCCUCCUAAAGAGUAACGGAGGAGCACGAAGGUUGGCUAAUCCUGGUCGGACAUCAGGAGGUUAGUGCAAUGGCAUAAGCCAGCUUGACUGCGAGCGUGACGGCGCGAGCAGGUGCGAAAGCAGGUCAUAGUGAUCCGGUGGUUCUGAAUGGAAGGGCCAUCGCUCAACGGAUAAAAGGUACUCCGGGGAUAACAGGCUGAUACCGCCCAAGAGUUCAUAUCGACGGCGGUGUUUGGCACCUCGAUGUCGGCUCAUCACAUCCUGGGGCUGAAGUAGGUCCCAAGGGUAUGGCUGUUCGCCAUUUAAAGUGGUACGCGAGCUGGGUUUAGAACGUCGUGAGACAGUUCGGUCCCUAUCUGCCGUGGGCGCUGGAGAACUGAGGGGGGCUGCUCCUAGUACGAGAGGACCGGAGUGGACGCAUCACUGGUGUUCGGGUUGUCAUGCCAAUGGCACUGCCCGGUAGCUAAAUGCGGAAGAGAUAAGUGCUGAAAGCAUCUAAGCACGAAACUUGCCCCGAGAUGAGUUCUCCCUGACCCUUUAAGGGUCCUGAAGGAACGUUGAAGACGACGACGUUGAUAGGCCGGGUGUGUAAGCGCAGCGAUGCGUUGAGCUAACCGGUACUAAUGAACCGUGAGGCUUAACCUU